AGAGUGGAGACCCCUGCUGGCUUGAGCCACCGCUGUGCCCUGGUGUCUGGAACCAGCCCGGCAUGCAAGGGCCUCAGUGAAUGUGCCCCGGAAACCACAAGUAAGGCGCCUGUCACAAUUGUCCCUCCUCCUGGGGUUUCUUCACGUGGCCCUGCACGGUGUGGUGUGCUCCUUCCUCCUGGGAACCGACUACAUCACUCCACACUCCUCCGACCGGGACAUGCGCGGCUCCAAUUCUGUUUGGCGAGGAUGCAAACAGAGUAUCUGUGAUACACCUUUCUGCGGCAUCGACUUCAUUACAAGAUCUGGAAUAACGGCCUCCCUCCUCCCCAUACAAAAAACACAAGAGCAGAGGAGGAGAGAGAUGCCUCAGGAAAAGCAGCCCAGUCUCUAAAGCUUCACCCAGCUGGGGACAGAAGGACAGACCCGCAGCUCGGGUGGCCUCUCCUCUUGUAGGCCGCGGACACGAGAUACCCUCUUGAUGGGAAUCCACUGCAGAGAACUGUGAGGGGUGUGCACACUCCCGUUGUCCACGGGACCGUAUCUGCUUGCCCGGGCCACCGUGUCCACACGGUGCACCCACGUUGCAUCACACACACCCGCGUGGGUUUGGGUCCGACUCCUGGCCAGUGUCCUGCACCUGUCCCGGGGCUUCCUGGAGCUCAGCAUCUUUCGCUGCACUUAAAAUGCAGGGACGGGGAACCUGGGUGGGCCUCCGUCCCUCGGCAUCCCACAAGUGCUUUUGCUCAGGUCGUGAUCUCACGGUUUUGUGAGUUGGAGCCCCACAUCGGGCUCUGAGCUGAUAGCACAGAGGCUGCUUGGGUUCUCU